rnacentral:rRNA from 1 species
UACAGAGGGUGCUAGCGUUGCUCGGAAUCAUUGGGCGUAAAGGGCGUGUAGGCGGUUUGUUAAGUCAUGUGUGAAAUCCCUCGGCUCAACCGGGGAACGACGCAUGAAACUGGCAAGCUAGAGUACCAAAGAGGGGGGUGGAAUUCCCGGUGUAGCGGUGAAAUGCGCAGAUAUCGGGAAGAACACCCGUGGCGAAGGCGGUUCUCUGGGACGGUACUGACGCUGAGACGCGAAAGCGUGGGGAGCGAACAGG